UCCCUGGUGGUUCAGAUGGUAAAGAACCUGCCUGCAAUGCAGGAGACCUGGGUUCUAUCCUCAGAGAGGGAA
rnacentral:tRNA from 1 species